CCUUGUCAUCUCCUUCGAGGCAUCGUGUUCUUCCUGGACUCGGGAGCCCGAUCCAACCUGCCCUUGAUUCACUCCAUCCCUGACUCCUUCUCGUAACCGAGUACACUGGGAGACUCGUCUUGAUCCCCUCGUCCGAUUCCCGCAAUCGCUGCCCGAGACCCACCCAAAUUUCGUGCUCGCCGACCUCGAGAAGAACCGCCGCAGAUCUUAACUCCGGCGAGUGAAUCGGCCAUCUCCGCCAAGCCGAAGCUCCUGGACAGCCGCCGUUCAUGUCACCGCCGUCGCGCACAGAGGAAACCCCGCCGCCGUUCGACCUCACCACUACCUCCGCCGCUUGAAGCUGCACCCAUCCGCCCCUUCAUCUUCGCCGGAGAGCCACCGGAGGAGCGGCGCAGCCUACGCCCGAAGCCGGCGUCGUUUUUCCCCUGCUGCUGAUUGCUCGGAGCGUGACGAAUAGAGUUAUCAGGAAUUGUGAGUGCGACGUCCUUCAUCUAACGUACCAG